UCCCUUAGCUUUCAUAUUGACUUCCUGGCUGCUCUUGCAGAUUGGACACCAGCUCAUCACCAACAUCGAAGCGAUGAACAAGGCAAAGAAGGAAGCAGCCCAGGCGGAGGAAGGUCGCCAGGCUGAGGCUGCCCGCCUCAAGGAGAAGAUCGCCGAAGUUGCGAGUCUCCAAGAGACGCUUCAGAAGGAGGAACAAACCUCGACAGAUCUGAAGGCCGCCCUGGAGGAGGAAAGGAAGAAGGCAGAGGCCGAGGUCUCCAAGCUGAAGGAGCAGAUCCCGACCUUAAUCUCAGAGGCACGGGCCCA
rnacentral:lncRNA from 1 species